AGCAAGGGUGUGGUGUGAUAACAUGUUUGCAGCCUGGUGACCCCUGACACAUUAGCUGCAAACUCUAAUCUCUUCCAUUUUGGGUCAAUGUCUCCCUGUGCGUGUAUAUGUGCGUGUGUGUAUAUAUAUAUAUAUAUAUAUUUGUUUUAUUUAUUUUUUUGGUUGUCUAACUUCUCCUACAUUUCUAGCUGACGGGAGGAGAAGGAUAUCCAUAAGUACUUGCGUUUUAGAUCUACAGCUGACUUGGAGAGCUUUCACAACCAUGUCCUCAUGUAUGCAAGCAAGCGUUUUGCUUUCACUCCUCCAGUCUAUGAAGCCCGUGUUAUUCUGGCUGCCCUGGACUACAACUUCCAUCUUGGUCGGCCAACAAGACA